rnacentral:rRNA from 1 species
CACGUAGGGUCCGAGCGUUGUCCGGAAUUACUGGGCGUAAAGCGUGCGCAGGCGGUUGGGUCAGUCGCUGGUGAAAGCCCCAACCGCUCAACGUGGGAAUGGCCAACGAGACGGCCCGACUGGAGGCAGGGAGAGGCCGGUGGAAUUCCGGGUGUAGUGGUGAAAUGCGUAGAGAUCCGGAGGAACACCAGAGGCGAAGGCGGCCGGCUGGACCUGACCUGACGCUGAGGCACGAAGGCGUGGGAGC